CAGAGAGAGAGAGAGAGAGAAAGAGAGAGAGAGAGAGAGAGAAACGGCGUUUCCCCCUUGUCACUUCUUUUUCUUUUUUUG
rnacentral:miRNA from 1 species